GCAAGUUGACAGGUGCCGGCGUAAAGAGUGGUUAAGGGAAAACAUAAAACUAAAGCUAAACACCUUCAGAGCUGUCAUACGCUUCCGAAGAUAUGAAGCCCCACCACGAAAGUGGCUUUACCCCCCCCCCC
rnacentral:rRNA from 1 species